rnacentral:misc_RNA from 1 species
UCAAACUUGGUCAUUUAGAGGAAGUACAAGUCGUAACAAGGUUUCCGUAGGUGAACCUGCGGAAGGAUCAUUAACAAAUCGUGUAAUUUUGUGUGUUGCGUAUAUGUGAUGAGUGUAUUAUCACACAUAUAUUAUAUACAUGCAUAUAUACAUAUAUGUGCUCCAAGCGAGAUUGUCUUGGUUGCAUCAAUAUAUAUACGUAUUAUUGUAUUGUGUUGUAUCAUGUAAAAUAGAAUUUUAAGAAUACUUUUAACAAUGGAUCUCUUGGCUCUUGCAUCGAUGAAGAACGCAGC